CAGCAUGGGAGAGUUGGGAGGUUCUGCCUGGAAGGCAAAAGACAAGCGGGGACUCACCUACUGCGCAAAGGAUGAGUCAGAAGUACCCAGCAGUACCCACUGCCUGACAUGGGCUUCAGGCUGGAGGAGCUGGAACAGCGUCUCUGGCUACUGCCCCAGCAAUUUGUGCCAAUUCCAGACAACUCCAGAUGUGUGUCUUUCCCACCAGUAUCUGUAGAGACUUGGCUCUGGAGACGGGGAUCUGCUUGCCAACAUACUGCCUUCCGGUGCUUUCGGCCCCAAGGGUCAAGUUCCUGCUGCCACACUCUCAUCCCUGGCUGUGCUGCCAGACGUGGAGGGCAGAUGUGCUGGCCCUGAGUCUAAUCUGUCAUCAGCUGAGAGGCCGCUGGCUCCCGCCGCGCGUGUGAACCUGAGCUGCUCGCCUGUUCCUCUCCCCUCGUCCAGAACCAGGCAGUGCCAGACAGAGGGAUUUCUUCUUAAGGAGCUUGGAAGAAUGAACUGACUGAUAGAAACCGCAAGACUCUGAGAAGGGCACUUACUACAGGUUGAAAAGACAGAUGCAAUGGAGAAACUUCUUUCCACCCCUAAUUCAUCGUUCAAUUCCCUGCCAUCUUCAAGAGUGUCAUCAGAAUCACGAGGGUCUUGAAGAAGAGUAAAGAAACCGAGUCAAGUCACAAAAAACUCAGAAUAACAUGACCUGCCACCCUGACAACUGUGGCUGUGAUGUUCCAGUUCCAGAGACGUAAGCAAAACUGCCCAGUCCUCAGGACUGACUGAGCACAGUUUAUGUGAUGUUGGUUGUAACUAUUUGCAAUUGCAUAUUAGCACAACUUCUCUGAAUUUUGUCUUGGAAAACUCAGUGACUUUAGGACCUCUGGCAUUAACAACAGCCCUUUCCAGUCUAAGAAUCUGAAUGAGGUGCUGCGAAGUUCUCAUUUUAUUAUGAAGAGCCGGAUGAAACCAGAUGCAUAAUAAAGCAAAUCUUUCACAAGCAGCCUAAGCGCUGGAUGUGCAAUGAAGACAAUUGCAUUUCAGCCCAGAGGUGGCUGCAUUUGAGCCACAGGGAAGUAAUCUGUUUAUAAACAAACUUCUCAAGCACUUUGAGAUGAAAACACUACACAGAAUCAAUUUAAUUCACUCUACGUAUGUGAAAAACUCUCAUUUCAUGUUAUUGUUCUCCUGGUUUUGCUACGCCAAUCACACUGCAAUUCCAAAUGUCUUCACUCUGUGCUGGAACAGCAGUCCACUACAUUCAAAAAAGCCAGCAGAAUAAAAAAACUUGUGAUGGAAAUUGUUCCUGUGCGUGCAGCCUGCUCAUGUUUCAGAAACUGUUCAUAUUCCAUUUCUCUUUGUCUGGUUAACAAGUGGCUACCAGUAAUUUGAUGGCAUUAAUAAGGUUUUGAAUUCCAGGUGUACUUUACCAAUUAGUAGCAUGUCCUAGGCACUGUGUUCUGUUGCACGAUGGUCGCCUUGCAUUUGGGCUCCUGGCUGCUUUCACUUUCUACUCUGAUGCUCUCCUGACUCUAGAA